rnacentral:rRNA from 1 species
AAAAAAGCUAUUAAGGGUGUAUGGUGGAUAUCUUGGUAGUAAGAGGCGAUGAAGGACGUGUGUUAAGUCACGAUAACCUCAGAGAGGAGCUAAGCAUCCUUUGACCUGGGGGUUUCCGAAUGGGGCAACCCUCUCAGUGGCAACACUGAGAACUUUAUGGUGAGUCAAGUAGUCAUAAAGGGCGAACGCAGGGAAUUGAAACAUCUAAGUACCUGUAGGAAGAGUAAUCAAUUGAGAUUCCGUCAGUAGCGGCGAGCGAAAUCGGAACAUGCCCAAACCGUUAAUAGUGAUAUUAACGGGGUUGUAGGACUUACAUAACGAAAAUUUUCCGUAAAAGAAGUGUCUGGGAAGUCACACCAUAGAAGGUGAAAGUCCUGUAUUAUAAACGGAAAGUGAUCUGGUGAGUAUCCUGAGUAGGACGGGACACGUGGAAUCUUGUCUGAAUCUGGGGGGACCACCCUCCAAGGCAAAAUACUACUUACUGACCGAUAGUGAACGAGUACCGUGAGGGAAAGAUGAAAAGAACCCCGAUGAGGGGAGUGAAAUAGAACUUGAAACCAUAUACUUACAAUCGGUGAGAGGGCUAUUGUAAAGCCUGAUCACGUACCUUUUGCAUUAUGAUUCAGUGAGUUACGAUGUGUAGCAAGGUUAAGCCGUUGCAGGUGUAGCCGUAGGGAAACCGAGUCUUAAUAGGGCGUUUAGUUUCAUGUCGUAGACCCGAAACGGGAUGAGCUAUCCAUGGGCAGGUUGAAGCGUAGGUAAAACUACGUGGAGGACCGAACCCUUGAAUGUUGAAAAAUUCUGGGAUGACCUGUGGAUAGGGGUGAAAGGCCAAUCAAAUUCCGUGAUAGCUGGUUCUCUCCGAAAUGCAUUUAGGUGCAGCGUCAAGUAUAACUGCAGGGGGUAUAGCACUGAAUUGGCUAGGGGGCUUACCGGCUUACCAAACCAUAUCAAACUCAGAAUACCUGUAAGUUUUAGCUUGGCAGUGAGACUAUGGAUGCUAAGGUCCAUAGUCAAAAGGGAAAGAGCCCAGACCAUCAGCUAAGGUCCCCAAAUAAUCGCUAAGUGGGAAAGGAUGUGGGAUUACUGUGACAUCCAGGAGGUUGGCUUAGAAGCAGCCAUCCUUUAAAGAAAGCGUAAUAGCUCACUGGACUAGUGAUCCUGCGCCGAAAAUGUAACGGGGCUAAGUGAUUUACCGAAGCUAUGGAUUUAUUCUUUUGAAUAAGUGGUAGGAGAGCAUUGUGUAUGUCGACGAAGGUAUACCGGCAAGGAGUACUGGAGAUAUCACAAGAGCUGAUGCUGAAAUGAGUAGCGAUAAGAAAGGUGAGAAUCCUUUCCACCGAAAAUCUAAGGGUUCCUGGGCCAGGUGACUCCGCCCAGGGUGAGUCGGAUCCUAACGCGAGGCCGAAAGGCGUAGUGGAUGGACAACAGGUUAAUAUUCCUGUACUUGAAUAAAAUCGUUCGACCAAUGGAGUGACGCAGAAAGAUAAUGGAUCCAUCUGUUGGAUAUGGUGGUUUAAGCGUGUAGGUGGGAGACUUUGGUAAAUCCGGGUUUCUAUUAACACUGAGGCGUGAAUACGAGGCGCAAGCCGAAGUCCAUGAUUCUCCGCUGCCUAGAAAAGCUUCUAGGGAGAUUUUAUGCAAUCCGUACCGUAAACCGACACAGGUAGAUGGGAUGAGUAAUCUCAGGUGAUUGGGAGAACUCCAGUUAAGGAACUCUGCAAGUUGGUACCGUAACUUCGGAAGAAGGUACACCCUCAGAUGUGACGUCCCUUGCGGGCUGAGCAUCAGUGGGUCGCAGAUAGCAGGGGGUAGCGACUGUUUAUCAAAAACAUAGGUCUCUGCAAACUCGAAAGAGGAAGUAUAGGGACUGACGCCUGCCCGGUGCUGGAAGGUUAAAAGGAGAGGUUAUUUCUUCGGAAAGAAGCUUUGAAUUGAAGCCCCAGUAAACGGCGGCCGUAACUAUAACGGUCCUAAGGUAGCGAAAUUCCUAGUCGGGUAAGUUCCGACCUGCACGAAUGGCGUAACGACUUCCCCACUGUCUCAACUGGAGGCCCAGCGAAAUUGGAGUGCGCGUGAAGAUACGCGCUACCCGCGGAAGGACGAAAAGACCCCGUGAACCUUUACUGCAACUUGGCAUUGGUUUUUGAACAAGAAUGCGUAGGAUAGGUGGGAGCUUUUGAUCCAUGCUUUUCGGAGUAUGGGGAGGCAACCUUGAAAUACCACCCUUUGUUGUUUGGAAUCCUAACCUAUGAUCAUGAAACUGGUCAGGGGACAAUGUCUGGUGGGCGGUUUGACUGGGGCGGUCGCCUCCUAAAGAGUAACGGAGGCGCACGAAGGUUCCCUCAAGCCGAUUGGAAACCGGCUGUAGAGUGUAUACGCAUAAGGGAGCUUGACUGCGAGACAGACAAGUCGAGCAGGUGCGAAAGCAGGUGUAAGUGAUCCGGUGGUCCCGAGUGGAAGGGCCAUCGCUCAACGGAUAAAAGGUACUCCGGGGAUAACAGGCUGAUCUCCUCCAAGAGUUCACAUCGACGAGGAGGUUUGGCACCUCGAUGUCGGCUCAUCGCAUCCUGGGGCGGUAGCACGUCCCAAGGGUUUGACUGUUCGUCAAUUAAAGCGGUACGCGAGCUGGGUUCAGAACGUCGUGAGACAGUUCGGUCUCUAUCCUCCGUGGGCGCAAGUCAUUUGAGGAAAUCUGUCCUUAGUACGAGAGGACCGGGAUGGACGAUCCUAUGGUGUAUCGGUUGUCACGCCAGUGGCACUGCCGAGUAGCUAAGAUCGGAAGGGAUAACCGCUGAAAGCAUCUAAGUGGGAAGCCCAUUCCAAGAUAAGAUGACUAUUAAGGCCGCUUGUAGACUACAAGCUUGAUAGGUCGGAUGUGUAAGCGCAGUAAUGUGUUGAGCUGACCGAUACUAAAUGGCCGUUUUGCUUUUUUUU